rnacentral:rRNA from 1 species
AUUGACGGAAGAACACCACAAGGAGUGGAGUGUGCGGCUUAAUUUGACUCAACGCGGGACAACUUACCGGGCCCGACGACCGUAAGAGUGUGACACACGAUAGGUCGAAGAGUGGUGCAUGGCCGUUAACGACGAGUGGAGUGAUCUUUGGGUUAAGUCCGUAAAUUAGUGAGACCUCAGCCGUAAGGGACAGGUGCGCAAAGCACAGGAAGGAUGGGUCAAGGACAGGUCAGUGAUGCCCUUAGAUGGUCCGGGCUGCACGCGCACUACAGUGGUCGCCGAAAUUAGCUGAUAAUUUUAAAGGCGAUCGAGAGGGAAUGAGCUUUGUAAGAGGCUCAGGAACGAGGAAUUGCUAGUAAUCGCGGACUCAUUAAGACGCGAUGAAUACGUCCCUGUUCUUUGUACACACCGCCCGUCGUUAUCGAAGAUGAAGACAGGCGCGAACGAUCUACCAGAAAGUGAGCGCAGGUCUUUAGAUCUGAUACAAGUCGUAACAAGGUAGCUGUAGGUGAACCUGUAGCUGG